AUACCUUUCUGGGCCUUUUGGCUAAGAUCAAAUGUAGUGUCUGUUUCUAUCAGUUUAAUAUCGGAUACGUGGAUCUACGGGUCCAUGAGAUAUUAAGUUAUUUUUUUGUGGAGGAGAAUUUGUCUAUGUAGCUCGCUGCAUGAUCGAUUCUCAUGUGUCGGCCAAGCGUUGCACUAUUGCUUGGAACAGGCGCACCGCAA
rfam:Triticum aestivum genome assembly, contig: Triticum_aestivum_CS42_TGACv1_scaffold_602555_7DL